AUACGGAGGAUGCAAGCGUUAUCCGGAUUUAUUGGGUUUAGAGGGUGCGUAGGCGGUUUGCUAAGCGGGAGGUGAAAUGCCGGCGCUCAACGUCGGAAGUGCCUCCCGAACUGGUGGACUGGAAUGACUCUGCCGUGGGAGGAAUGUGUAGUGUAGCGGGGAAAUGCUUAGAGAUUACACAGAACACCGAUUGCGAAGGCAUCUCACGAAGGGUUGAUUGACGCUGAGGCACGAAAGCGUGGGGAUCAAACAGGAUUAGAUACCCUGGUAGUCCACGCAGUAAACGAUGAUGGCUAACCGCUGGUUUAUUCGGAUCAGUGGCCAAGCGAAAGCGAUAAGCCAUCCACCUGGGGAGUACGACCGCAAGGUUGAAACUCAAAUGAAUUGGCGGGG
rnacentral:rRNA from 1 species